ensembl:lncRNA
UUUUUUUUUUUUUUUUGAGGAAAACUAGCCCUGAGCUAACACCUGCUGCCAAUCCUCCUCUUUUUGCUGAGGAAGACUGGCCCUGAGCUAACAUCUGUGCCAAUCUUCCUCUACUUUAUAUGUGGGACGCCUGCCACAGCAUGGCUUGCCAAGUGGUGUCAUGUCCUUACCCGGGAUCCGAACCAGUGAACCCCGGGCCGCCAAAGCGGAACACGCGCACUCAACCGCUGCACCACUAGGCUGGCCCACUAAGGUCUUGCAUUCUGAAAAUGUCUUUAUUCUGCUCUCGCAAGUGAUUAGUAGUUUGUCUGGGUAUAGAAUUCUAGGUUGGAAAUCAUCACCUAUCAGCGUUUUGAAGGCAUUCGCUCCCUUGUCGUCUUGCUUCCAGUGUUGCUGUGGAAGCUGUUCUGCUGUCUCACCCUUGGAAGAUGACUUGCUUUUUUCUCUUUAGAAACUUUUAGAGUCUUAUCUUUAUGCUUGCUGAUUUAAAAUUUCAAGAUGAAGUGCACUGGUGUGGAUUUUUAUCUAUUAAUUGUGCUGGUAACUUGGCAGGAUUUUUUAUCAUGAUAUUUAUAUCCUUCAGUUCUGGGAGUUUUUCUUAAAAUUUUCUUUGAUAAUUUCAUUUCUUCUGUUUUCUCUGUUUUUUGUUUCUCCAACUCCUGACAUUCGGAUAUUGGACCUCCAGGUUUAAUCUUUUAAUUUUCCUAUUUUUUCCUCUCCUUGUUUCUAUCUCUGUCUUUUGGGAGAUUCCUUCAACUUGAUGAAAUGAUGAUCCCAAGAUGAUCUUAUCCAGUUUCAUGGCUCUAAACGCUGUUUGCACACUUGUGACUCCCAUAUUUACAUCUCUAGCCUGGACCUCUCCUCUUAACUCUGUACAGUCAUGCAUUGAAUAAUAGCAUUUUGGUCAACGACAAACCACAUAUACAACAGUGGUCCCCUAAGAUUAUAAUAGAGCUGAAGAUUCCUGUCGUCUAGUGACGUCAUAGCUGUUGUAAUGUCUUAGCACAAUGCAUCACUCAUGUGUUUGUGAUGACAUUGGUGUAAACAAACCUACUUCAAGGCUUGUUAUAUAAAAGUAUAGCACAUACAAUUAUGUACAGUACAUAAUAUUUAAUGAUAAUAAAUGGCUAUGUUACUAGUUUAUGUACUUACUAUAUUAUGCUUCUUUUUUUUUUUGGGAGGCCCUGCUGGGAUAUACUAUGCUUCCUCUUGUUAUUUUAGAGUGUACUCUUUCUACUUAUUAAAAAAAAAAGUUUACUGUAAAACAGUUUGCCACGUUUGACAGCAGCAGCCUCAUAUCUUGUGUUUAUCGCGUCUCUUGAUUGCACCAUUUUCUCUUGUGCCUGAUAUAAUUUCAUGUUGUUUGUUUCAUCAGGGCCACUAAUUAUAUGAAAUCCACUGCUAAUGCUGCCAGCAAGAGGCUACAUCGAAUGACUAACCUGGAAAUGAAAUUAAAAGAGAUUAAGGUCUACGAAGGUGGAGAAUCAGUGAUGGUUAUUGCUCCCCAGUCGGGCAUGUCCCAUUCCACCACAGCUAUGAUCUUGAAGAGCAAGAACAAAGUGAAGGAAGCUGGUAAGGAUCUGCUUCAUUGAAGGCAAUGAGACUAACAAAAGUUUCAGAAGGGUCUAUCUCAGACUUGGAGAAACUUCCACUGACCUGGAUGGAAGACCAGACACAGAAGCAUAUCCCUCUGAGCACUAUGACAAUCAUGGCCAAAGCAAAAAGGUUGUUUGCAACAUUGAAAGAAGAGGCCAGGGCCAGCCCUGGUGGCCUAGUGGUUAAGUUCAGCAUGCUCCACUUCAGUGGGCUGGGUUCAGUUCCUGGGCGCUGACAUACACCACUCAUCUGUCAGUGGCCGUGCUGUGAGGGCAGCUCGUGUACACAGCAGAGGAAGAAUGGCAACAGAUGUUAGCUCAGGGUGAAUCUUCCUCAGCAAAAAAGAAAGAAAGAAAGAAAAAGAAAAGGAAAAGAAAAGUCUGGACCCAACUAUGAUCUUGAAAUUACUGCUAGCUCUGGGUAGUUUAAACAAUUCAAGAAUCCUUAUUCAUUACAUCAUGUGGAAGUGAAGGGUGAGUCUGCAAGUGCUGAUGUGAGGGCAGCUGGAGAAUUCUUGGAAGCUCCAGAUAAGCUGAUUGUAGAGGAAAAUUACUUGCCAGAGAAAAUAUUCAAUAGGGAUGAAACCUCAUUAUUCUGUAAACAGAUAGCCUGUAAGGACUUUCCUCCAUAAAGAGGCCAAGGCAAUGCCAGGUUUAAAGGCUUUUAAGGACAGGAUAACAGUCUUGCUUGGGGGCGGUGUUGCAGGCUACAAAUCGAAACCCUUUGUGAUCUGGCACAGUGAGAACCCCAGAGCCUGCAAGCAUAUCAAUAAGCACACACUGCCAGUGCACGACAGGAGCAAUAAGAAGUUACGGAUAGGGGCUGGCCCAGUGGCCAAGUGGUUAAGUUUGCACGCUCCACUUCGGUGGCCCGGGGUUUAUCCGAUUAGGAUCCUGGGCACGGACCUAACACCACUCAUCCGGUCAUGCUGAGGUGGCAUCCCACAUGCCACAACUAGAAUAUACAAGUAUGUUUGGAGGUGCCUCAGGGACAAGAAGAAGAUUGGCAACAGAUGUUAGCUCAGGUGCCAAUCUUAAAAAAAAAAAAAAGAGAGAGAGAAGUAAUGCAUGACCCAGCUCCUCUUCCAAGAAGCCCUCCUGAAUUGCUAUGACAGUGAAAUGGAGAAGUAUUAUCCGGAGAAUAACAUACCUUUCAAGAUUCUGCUUAUUGUUAAUAAUGCUCUUACACAUCCUCCUUUUAUUAGUAAUCUUCAACUCAGUAUCAAAGUGGUGUUUCUCCCUCCAAACACCACCUCUUUGAUCCAACCAAUGGAUCAAGGAGUUAUAGCAGCUUUUAAGGCCCACAGCCCGAGAAGGACCUUGCCCAGGCUAUUGCUGCAACUGAGGAAGACACUGAAAAGACACUGAUGCGAUUCUGGAAGGAUUACAAUAUCUACGGCUGCAUCAAGAGCCUUGCUUGGCCUUGGGGUGAUGUCACCAAGGAGUGUACUAACAGGAUCGGAAGAAGACACUCAGGAGAUUGGUCCACGGCUUCAAAGGGUUUGCUAAGGAUGAGGAGGUUGCAGAAAUCCACAAGGCUGUGGCUGGGAUGGCAAACAGCUUUCUUCUGGAUGCGGAUGAGGAUGACACUGAGGAGCUCCUGGAGCUGCUUCCUCAGGAACUGGCUGAGGAGUUGUGGGAACCGGAACAGGAACACAGAGCUGAAAAAGAGGGAAGAGAAAAGGAACUGCAUGAGAAGAAAAGAGAGUCUCUACGAAAAUUCCCAGUGAAGGGCUUAGCAGAAGGCUUUGCAGACCUCAACAAACUCCUUAAAAAGUUAGAAAACAUGGACCCCAACUCCGAAAGAUUUUCAUUAAUCGAGAGGGAUGUUCAUGACACAUUAAUUGCUUCCAUGCAAAUCUAUGAUGGAAAAAAGAAACAAACCAAGCAAACCACCAGGGACGUAUUCCUGAAAAGAGUG